GAAACAGUUAGCUCAGUUGGCAGAGCGACACAGGCGAUCGGUGAAAGCCCGAAUCCUGUGUAGAUCGAGGGUUCGAGUCCCUCACUGUUUCU
rnacentral:tRNA from 1 species